AUUGAACGCUGGCGGCGUGCCUAACACAUGCAAGUCGAGCGGUAACAGGUGUAGCAAUACAUGCUGACGAGCGGCGGACGGGUGAGUAACGCUUGGGAAUCUGCCUGUUAGUGGGGGACAACCCGGGGAACUCGGGCUAAUACCGCAUACGCACUACGGUGGAAAGCCGGGGACCGCAAGGCCUGGCGCUAACAGAUGAGCCCAAGUCGGAUUAGCUAGUUGGAGGGUAACGGCCUACCAAGGCGACGAUCCGUAACUGGUCUGAGAGGACGACCAGUCACACCGGAACUGAGACACGGUCCGGACUCCUACGGGAGGCAGCAGUGGGGAAUAUUGGACAAUGGGCGAAAGCCUGAUCCAGCGACGCCGCGUGGGUGAAGAAGGCCUGCGGGUUGUAAAGCCUUCGGUGGGGAAGAAAAGCCUCGAGUUAAUACCUCGGGGUCUUGACGUAACCCAUAGAAGAAGCACCGGCUAACUCCGUGCCAGCCGCCGCCGUAAC
rnacentral:rRNA from 1 species